UGUGUGUGUGUGUGUAUAUAUGUAUGUGUGUGUGCGUGCGUGUGAGUGUGUGCGUGUGUCUAUACACAUAAGUGCUGAUAAAAUAUAAUACCUAUUGUGGCCUAAAACAUUUCUUAUGAAGCAACUGCGGAAAGGGAAAAAAUGCAUUUAAAAAGUUAGAUACUUAAACUACAGUAGCAUGCGUUGACAAUACCCAUUGGUGAAUGCAAAAACAAUUUGGAACAUGAUUGCGAUUCGUUUCAUCAUUUCAAAAGUAAUUACAUAAGGUGAACAAAAGAAAAGGUAUGAAAUCAUAACAAAGUUAUGUAUAUCUCCAAUGUAAUUAAAGUUAAUGUAAUUGAAACCUUUUCAUCAAUAAGGCUAAGUCGCGAGACACUGGGAGCCUUGUAUUUAGUACCCUGUAUAAGUGCAUAUAUCUAUAUCAAAACAUAUAGACAAUCAUAUACGCAUACAUGAUUACACUCAACGCGCGCGCACACACAUACGCACAUACACUCAUAUAUCUAUAAAUGAAUAUAAUUUUUUUCCACAAAUAUAUCUAUAUGUGCUUGUUUUAUUGUUAUUAUUAUUAUUAUUAUUAUUAUUAUUAUUAUUAUUAUUAUUAUUAUUAUAAACUCUCUUGACAUUCUGAAAAUCGUAAUGUGGUUCUUCGGGCAAUGCGGGCUAAUUGGCUCACCUUAAAAAUGUGGAUAUCUUAAACAGGGUAAAGACCCCCUUUGGUCAUGAGUAACCAUGGAACUGCACUUAGAAAGUUACCCUCCGAGGCACAAAUCCGAGCAAUGUUGUUUAUGGAAGACAAGCAGUCGUCCAUGCAUACAAGUUUCCCCUCUUCACGCCACCGAUGUUAUCCAAGGGAAAGGCAAAGGCCGACACAGCUUGGUAUCAGUGACAUCAUGGCUCAUUUCUACAGAUGAGGGAACUGGAGCAACGCGAAGUAAAGUGUCUCGCUCAAGAACGCAACACACAGUCCGGAAAUCGUACUCACUAGCUCAUGAAUGUGAGCCCGACGCUCUUACUAUUGAGCCAUACGCCUUCAUGCAUUUAAGAUAAUAGUAUGUAACUUUCUAUAAACUUUAUAAUACAUGCGACUAAGCUAUAUACUAGGUAGUAGAACAUGUUUAAACCGACCAAAUUUGAAUGUUCUGAAAACUAAGUCUGUAAUGUUUAUCACAACCGAUCGCGUUUAUAGUCUCUUUUGUCUCAUAUGAUAUGUUUAUAAUACUGCAUUCGUGCUGCAUUUAGCGGAGUUGAAAGUUAUAUGUCGAAAUGCGAUUAUUUCGAAUCUUUUUAUUAGUAACCAACCAUUUCUACGGACAAAAAUCGCUUAGUUUAUUUUAUCUAGUCACAUUCCCACUAUGUAAUUAAUGAACAUUUAGCUGUCUGGUGCUAAUUCCAAGCAUUUCGGUGGAACUUUUGCUGAAAUUCCAUUUUUCCUUAUUUAGACCAUUCUGAAUACUGAUACUACAUACAUAAUAGGAGUUUAAGAAAUAGAUGCUAUUAAUUUGCUAAGAAAUGAUAAAAUAAAUUCUACCUUAUAAAUAAUCUUUAAAGGCUAUGAAAAUAUGUUCAUUCAUUCUCUGAUAGGGUGGGGAAUUUAUUUUAGUACCAAUGAAUAAUUUUAAGUGCAUAUAUACCAGUGCUGCUUCAUCUCGAUAAAGAAAAUCUAUGAAUUGUUACGUUCACAACAAUUUAUGUGCGCUAAUAAUAUUGAAUCACAGUUUUAGUUCGAAAGCCUAAAUCAUUUUUGCCUCAUAAGUUUCAAAGUGUUCGAACAGUUUGAAAUUUGAAUGUGAGUGAAACAUUAUCCACCCCUAUUCAACAGUAUUUCUCUCAGAAGAAAAUGCGAAUGGGAGUAAACAAUGCAUAAUACGGUUUUACCUUGACUUACAUUAAGAUUUGUGUGGUGUUACAAUUGUUUUUGAGUUCAGUGUUCACCUAUUUUUAUUAAUACGUUUGGUUUCACAUCAUGCCAAAAGGUAAUAAAAGAAUUUCGUUUGACAACAUCAUAAAUAAAAUUAAAACAUAACACUAAUAAAGUAAUUUAUACUAAUUCUUUGUUUUAUAAAAAUGCCUCAAAUUAAAUGAAAUAAAAUCACAAAAGGUGAAAGUAUAUAACGGAGGGGAUGCAACGAAGCGUGUGUUGAAUUGGGGGAAAAUAUAGCACGUAGAUUUCUUACAAUUUUAAUAUCAGCUUGGCUUGAGUAAGUUUCUUUACUACAAAUGUCUCCAUAAUUGAGAAUGUUAUUUUAAAGAAUAUAACAUUCUGGUCUAUCAACCUCAACGAUGGGGAGAAUAUCCUCACGGCAGCAGAAAUAUAUUAUGAAUAUAUAAUAUAAAGAAGAGAAGGAGAGAUUAGUAGUUUUGUAAAAUUAGAUUCUUAUUGUUCUUGAUAAUAGGCAGCAAUUUGGUAUAAACGUUUGCGCCUUGGACAAAAUGCUUAACUUUUCUUCCAACUUUUUAUGUUCGGAGAUAUAAUCUCACUGAUGCCAACUUUGUCUUUCUGGGUCGAUAAAAUGAAAUACUAUGCAAGUAAAAGGGUCUAUGAAACAGUCUAGCCUCUUCCCUCAAACCUUCUGACCUUAAUUCUUCAUUUGAAAGAAUUAUUGUUCUUAACAUCAAUGAAAUGUUUAAAAGUAAUAUUUCUAUAAGGAUAGCAUCUUAAAACUUACUACAAGUUUUGAGUACUUAGCAUCUCAGAAUUCUUGAUAAAAUUAUGGGCACUAUUCAGUAUCAUCGAUUCUAGUACAAAAGUAGUACAUUAUUAUAUUUAUACUCGAUGUAUGAAGGGCAAAGUUCAUUUCAGCAGGAUUUGAACUCAAAAUGUAAACUGUCGGAAAAUUACUGUAAAGUAGUUUCUUUCAGAGGCUCGAGACAUUCUUCUAAAUUGUCACUCAAAGAUGGAACGCAAAGUUGACUUGGGCGGGAUGCCUGAAGCGUAAUGAAUAAACAUAUAUUACGGUAAAUAACAAUAAUCAGAAUAAUGAUCCAUAGACGUUUUAAAACAGGAGGUUGAAACGGAUUCCAGCUACUUACUCAUCGAUUUGUUCUAUUUGGCAGAUAUAUAGGUAAUCUAUCAUUGAAAAUAUCAAAAAGGUGCAACUGAAUACGGUAAGAUAUCAUAACUUCAGAAACUAUAAAAUUAUACAAAGGCAAAAACCAGGCACAACUAAAGAAAAAUAGCAAGGGAGCCUUCUGAGAGAUGCUAGAAAUAGAAAAACAUUCGCGUGACAGCUAUAACGUACUAUCUUGAAAAAGCUAAGUCAUAGCUCUCCUGGAUGUGUAAUGAGGAUUGUGAUAAAGUGUUAUAAUGGUGAUGAAAUCGACCAAAGAA
rnacentral:lncRNA from 1 species